rnacentral:rRNA from 1 species
GAUUGAACGCUGGCGGCAGGCCUAACACAUGCAAGUCGAACGGUAACAGGAAGCAGCUUGCUGCUUCGCUGACGAGUGGCGGACGGGUGAGUAAUGUCUGGGAAACUGCCUGAUGGAGGGGGAUAACUACUGGAAACGGUGGCUAAUACCGCAUAACGUCGCAAGACCAAAGAGGGGGACCUUCGGGCCUCUUGCCAUCAGAUGUGCCCAGAUGGGAUUAGCUAGUUGGUGAGGUAACGGCUCACCAAGGCGACGAUCCCUAGCUGGUCUGAGAGGAUGACCAGCCACACUGGAACUGAGACACGGUCCAGACUCCUACGGGAGGCAGCAGUGGGGAAUAUUGCACAAUGGGCGCAAGCCUGAUGCAGCCAUGCCGCGUGUAUGAAGAAGGCCUUCGGGUUGUAAAGUACUUUCAGCGGGGAGGAAGGUGUUGUGGUUAAUAACCGCAGCAAUUGACGUUACCCGCAGAAGAAGCACCGGCUAACUCCG